AUUGAACGCUGGCGGCAUGCCUUACACAUGCAAGUCGAACGGCAGCACGGGAGCAAUCCUGGUGGCGAGUGGCGAACGGGUGAGUAAUAUAUCGGAACGUGCCCAGUAGUGGGGGAUAGCCCGGCGAAAGCCGGAUUAAUACCGCAUACGACCUGUGGGUGAAAGCGGGGGAUCGCAAGACCUCGCGCUAUUGGAGCGGCCGAUAUCAGAUUAGCUAGUUGGUGGGGUAAAGGCCUACCAAGGCGACGAUCUGUAGCUGGUCUGAGAGGACGACCAGCCACACUGGGACUGAGACACGGCCCAGACUCCUACGGAGGCAGCAGUGGGGAAUUUUGGACAAUGGGCGCAAGCCUGAUCCAGCCAUGCCGCGUGU
rnacentral:rRNA from 1 species